GCUUACAAGAAACUUGAAAGGGACCUACAAUACGUGCAAUAUUAAUAUUGUACAUGCCAAUCAUUGGAUGGGAGUGUGAUAUCAAUUAAUAAAAAUGAACCCACCAUCACAAAACUUGGCACCCAUUUUGACAAAGAAACAAUUUUGAAACAACAAAGUGAUAGUGCAUGGAGUUUAGUAUGAAUAAUUCCAGCUGUCUUACAAUUCGUUCAAUAUUAUGUACAUUUUUUUUGUGCCUAUGGCUUUCUUCUAAUAUGUGUGGUGAUAAAAUCACAUUUAAAUUGUGACCCAAUUUGAGACUUGGAGGGACCAUAGCAUUGAUUCUCAGCAAAAAGAGGAGCAAACAAAAUACUAAAAGCUUUGGUCGACACCACCUACCAAAUAUGCAAGAGUCUAAUUCUCUAUUUUCGGCCACUUUUUCAGAUUUGGACGAACUUGUUUGAAUGGUAGUAAUAGUGUGGCCAAGCAAGUUGUUAAAAGCUAUCGUGUACUUGAUGUUAACGAAGCAGAUACGUGGUCAUGGAAUAAUGCAUAAGGAAUAUUGUACUUGUUAAAGGAUGCGUAUUUUGUGAUGUAUGAGGAGUUUGUGGCAGGUGUCACUACGCCUCCAUUUGAAGACCUAGUGUGACAUACUUUUGUCUAUUCAAAAGUAUCAUUAUUUAUGUGGGAGUUUCAAAAUAGACUUCCUACAAAUGAUAAUUUGUUUCAUCGAGAAAUUAUUUCUUUUGAAGAUUAACAAUGUGUAGCAAGUUGCAAAGACGUUGAAACAACCCGUCAUUUGUUCUUUGCGUUCCCUCUUUUUGAGUCGGUCGUAUGAUGUUUUGAAUUGACUUAGACUAUCUGAUGUGUUUCCUAUGAAUGCAAUGAGUCACACUAACCAAUUUGAUGUUAUUUUUUUUCUUCAUGUGAACAUGUAAUGCAUCAAAUAAUUAGUUUAGUUUGGUUUGCGGUGAUGUAAGCGAUUUGGAGAUCAAGAAAUUGUGGAAUUUUUGGUUCACGUAUUUUGAAUGCAAAUUUUAUUAUUGAGCGGGUUAAACUUUUAGCAUAAAGGUGGAUCAAAUUGCAUGUAAAAAGAUUUUGUUAUGUGUAUAAUCAAUAGUGCCUUCAACCUUUAA